rnacentral:rRNA from 1 species
GAUGAACGCUGGCGGCGUGCCUAAUACAUGCAAGUCGAGCGAACAGACGAGGAGCUUGCUCCUCUGACGUUAGCGGCGGACGGGUGAGUAACACGUGGAUAACCUACCUAUAAGACUGGGAUAACUUCGGGAAACCGGAGCUAAUACCGGAUAAUAUAUUGAACCGCAUGGUUCAAUAGUGAAAGACGGUUUUGCUGUCACUUAUAGAUGGAUCCGCGCCGCAUUAGCUAGUUGGUAAGGUAACGGCUUACUAAGGCAACGAUGCGUAGCCGACCUGAGAGGGUGAUCGGCCACACUGGAACUGAGACACGGUCCAGACUCCUACGGGAGGCAGCAGUAGGGAAUCUUCCGCAAUGGGCGAAAGCCUGACGGGGCAACGCCGCGUGAGUGAUGAAGGUCUUCGGAUCGUAAAACUCUGUUAUUAGGGAAGAACAAAUGUGUAAGUAACUAUGCACGUCUUGACGGUACCUAAUCAGAAAGCCACGGCUAACUACGUG